AUCCAGACUCCUACGGGAGGCAGCAGUGGGGAAUAUUGCACAAUGGGGGAAACCCUGAUGCAGCAACGCCGCGUGAGUGAAGAAGCGUUUCGGCGCGUAAAGCUCUUUCAGCGGGGAAGAAAGAAGACGGUACCCGACCAAGAAGCCCCGGCUAACUACGUGCCAGCAGCCGCGGUAAUACGUAGGGGGCGAGCGUUAUCCGGAAUUACUGGGUGUAAAGGGAGCGUAGACGGCGAAGUAAGCCUGAAGUGGAAGACCGCGGCGCAACCGCGGAACUGCUUUGGGAACUGUUGUGCUGGAGUAUGGGAGGGGUAAGCGGAAUUCCUGGUGUAGCGGUGAAAUGCGUAGAUAUCAGGAGGAACACCGGCGGCGAAGGCGGCCUGCUGGACCGCGACUGACGUUGAGGCUCGAAAGCGUGGGGAGCGAACAGGAUUAGAUACCCCAGUAGCG
rnacentral:rRNA from 1 species